rnacentral:rRNA from 1 species
GACGAACGCUGGCGGCGUGCUUAACACAUGCAAGUCGAACGGAAAGGCCCUGCUUUUGCGGGGUGCUCGAGUGGCGAACGGGGGAGUAACACGUGAGUAACCUGCCCUUGACUUUGGGAUAACUUCAGGAAACUGGGGCUAAUACCGGAUAGGAGCUCCUGCUGCACGGUGGGGGUUGGAAAGUUUCGGCGGUUGGGGAUGGACUCGCGGCUUAUCCGCUUGUUGGUGGGGUAGUGGCUUACCAAGGCUUUGACGGGUAGCCGGCCUGAGAGGGUGACCGGGCACAUUGGGACUGAGAUACGGCCCAGACUCCUACGGGAGGCAGCAGUGGGGAAUAUUGCACAGUGGGCGGAAGCCUGAUGCAGCAGCGCCGCGUGCGGGAUGACGGCCUUCGGGUUGUAAACCGCUUUCGCCUGUGACGAAGCGUGAGUGACGGUAAUGGGUAAAGAAGCACCGGCUAACUACGUG